AAUUGUUAGUUUUAAAGGAAAUUUUGCUGUUUUUUGGUUAUUAUCUUGAAUAUUAUUAUAGAUAGAGAUUAACUGUAAACAGCAAUAAUGUUCAGCAAUGUAAGAUUUACAAAUAAGUCAACAUGACUGAAAUGGUCAAUUGACCCCCUAAGGAGUUAUUGUCCUUUAUAGUCAAUUUUUAACAAUUUUCAUAAAAUUUGUAAAUAUUUACUAACAUUUUCCACUGAAACUACUGGGCCAAGUUCAUUAUAGAUAGAGAUAAUUAUAAGCAGCAAGAAUGUUCAGUAAAGUAAGAUGUACAAACACAUCACCAUCACCAAAACACAGUUUUGUCAUGAAUCCAUCCUCUUCCUUUGUUUAAUAUUCACAAAGACCAAGGUGAGCGACACAGGCUCUUUAGAGCCUCUAGUUUUUCAAUCCUGGUUGCUGUUUUUGUCACCUGC
rnacentral:lncRNA from 1 species